GGUCACCGCAAGGGAAGCUGGCGACCGAAGCCCCGAUAAACGGCGGCCGUAACUAUGACGGUCCUAAGGUAGCGAAAUUCCUUGUCGGGUAAGUUCCGACCCGCACGAAAGGCGUAAUGAUUUGGAUACUGUCUCGGAGAGGGGCUCGGUGAAAUAGACUUGUCUGUGAAGAUGCGGACUACCUGCACCUGGACAGAAAGACCCUAUGAAGCUUUACUGUAACUUGAGAUUGGUUUCGGGUUUUAUUUGCGCAGAAUAGGUGGGAGGCUAUGAAAAAAUACUUGUGGGUGUUUUGGAGCCAUCAGUGAGAUACCACUCUUGUAAAACUAGAAAUCUAACUUUACACCAUUAUCUGGUUAAAAGACAGUCUCAGGCGGGCAGUUUGACUGGGGCGGUCGCCUCCUAAAGGGUAACGGAGGCGCCCAAAGGUUCCCUCAGCCUGGUUGGUAAUCAGGUGGUGAGUGUAAGUGCACAAGGGGGCUUGACUGUGAGACUGACAGGUCGAGCAGGGACGAAAGUCGGGACUAGUGAUCUGACGGUGGCUUGUGGAUGCGCCGUCACUCAACGGAUAAAAGGUACCCCGGGGAUAACAGGCUGAUCUUGCCCGAGCGCUCACAGCGACGGCAUGGUUUGGCACCUCGAUGUCGGCUCGUCGCAUCCUGGGGCUGGAGUAGGUCCCAAGGGUUGGGCUGUUCGCCCAUUAAAGCGGUACGUGAG
rnacentral:rRNA from 1 species